AUUGAACGCUGGCGGCAGGCCUAACACAUGCAAGUCGAACGAGUGGCGGACGGGUGAGUAAUGUCUGGGAAACUGCCCGAUGGAGGGGGAUAACUACUGGACACGGUAGCUAAUACCGCAUCCCAUCGGAUGUGCCCAGCUGGGAUUAGCUGGUAGGUGGGGUAACGGCUCACGUAGGCGACGAUCCCUAGCUGGUCUGAGAGGAUGACCAGCCACACUGGAACUGAGACACGGUCCAGACUCCUACGGGAGGCCGCAGUGGGGAAUAUUGCACAAUGGGCGCAAGCCUGAGGCAGCCAUGCCGCGUGUGUGAAGAAGGCCUUCGGGUUGUAAAGCACUUUCAGCGGGGAGGCGUUACCCGCAGAAGAAGCACCGGCUAACUCCGUGCCAGCAGCCGCGGUAAUAC
rnacentral:rRNA from 1 species